UCCCGGUUGAUCCCGCCGGACCUGACUGCUAUCGGAUUGGUACUAAGCCAUGCGAGUCGUUGUAGCAAUACAAGGCGGACGGCUCAGUAACACGUAGUCAACCUAACCUAUGGACGUGGAUAACCUCGGGAAACUGAGAAUAAACCGCGAUAGAUCAUUAUGCCUGGAAUGGCUUAUGGUUCAAACAAUUUAUUGCCGUAGGAUGGGACUGCGGCCUAUCAGCUUGUUGGUGAGGUAAUGGCCCACCAAGGCUAUAACAGGUACGGGCUCUGAGAGGAGAAGCCCGGAGAUGGGUACUGAGACACGGACCCAGGCCCUAUGGGGCGCAGCAGGCGAGAAACCUUAGCAAUGUGCGAAAGCACGACUAGGUUAAUCCGAGUGAUUUCUGUUGAAGAAAUCUUUUGUCAGUCAUAAAACCACAGACGAAUAAGGGGUGGGCAAGUCUGGUGUCAGCCGCCGCGGUAAUACCAGCACCUCGAGUGGUCAGGAGGUUUAUUGGGCCUAAAGCAUCCGUAGCCGGCUACGCAAGUCUCCGGUUAAAUCCAGCUGCUCAACAGAUGGGCUGCCGGAGAUACUACAUAGCUAGGGAGCGGGAGAGGCAGACGGUAUUCUGUGGGUAGGGGUAAAAUCCUUUGAUCCAUAGAGGACCACCAGUGGCGAAGGCGGUCUGCCAGAACGCGUUCGACGGUGAGGGAUGAAAGCUGGGGGAGCAAACCGGAUUAGAUACCCGGGUAGUCCCAGCUGUAAACGAUGCAAACUCGGUGAUGCAUUGGCUUAUGGCCAAUGCAGUGCCGCAGGGAAGCCGUUAAGUUUGCCGCCUGGGAAGUACGGACGCAAGUCUGAAACUUAAAGGAAUUGGCGGGGGAGCA
rnacentral:rRNA from 1 species